UACGUAGGUGGCGAGCGUUAUCCGGAUUUACUGGGCGUAAAGCGCUUGUAGGUGGUCUUGUAAGUUGGGCGUGAAAACACCGGGCUUAACUCGGUGACGCCGUCCAAUACUGCGAGGCUGGAGGAUGUCAGAGGAAGGUGGAAUUCCUGGUGUAGUGGUGAAAUGCGUAGAUAUCAGGAGGAACACCCGUGGCGAAGGCGGCCUUCUGGGGCAUUCCUGACACUGAGAAGCGAAAGCUAGGGGAGCAAACAGG
rnacentral:rRNA from 1 species